rnacentral:misc_RNA from 1 species
GUAAUCUCAACUCUACAGUCUUUGUUGACUUGUAGGGCUUGGACUUGGAGCGUGCUGGCGCAAGUCAGCUCCUCUCUAAAAGCAUUAGCAUAAGGUUGUAGACUAUUAGCGGUCGGUGUGAUAAGUAUCUUCACCGGUUCAUACUGCGAAUGUCGAAGCCUAGCUUCAAAUCGUCUUCACGGACAAUUAUACAAGU